UACGAAGGGUGCAAGCGUUACUCGGAAUUACUGGGCGUAAAGCGUGCGUAGGUGGUGAGUUAAGUCUGUCGUGAAAGCCCCGGGCUCCAACCUGGGAAUGGCGAUGGAUACUGGCUCGCUAGAGUGCGGUAGAGGAGAGUGGAAUUCCCGGUGUAGCAGUGAAAUGCGUAGAGAUCGGGAGGAACAUCAGUUGCGAAGGCGGCUCUCUGGACCAGCACUGACACUGAGGCACGAAAGCGUGGGGAGCAAACAGG
rnacentral:rRNA from 1 species